CAGCCGCCGCGGUAACACGGAGGGUGCAAGCGUUAUCCGGAUUUAUUGGGUUUAAAGGGUCCGUAGGCGGAUCUGUAAGUCAGUGGUGAAAUCUCACAGCUUAACUGUGAAACUGCCAUUGAUACUGCAGGUCUUGAGUAAAUUUGAAGUGGCUGGAAUAAGUAGUGUAGCGGUGAAAUGCAUAGAUAUUACUUAGAACACCAAUUGCGAAGGCAGGUCACUAAGAUUUAACUGACGCUGAUGGACGAAAGCGUGGGGAGCGAACAGGAUUAGAUACCCCAGUAGUCCCUGUCUCUUAUAC
rnacentral:rRNA from 1 species